rnacentral:rRNA from 1 species
UACGUAGGGGGCAAGCGUUGUCCGGAUUUAUUGGGCGUAAAGAGCGUGUAGGCGGCCUUACAGGUCAGCUGUGAAAACUCGAGGCUCAACCUCGAGACGUCGGUUGAAACCGUAUGGCUAGAGUCCGGAAGAGGAGAGUGGAAUUCCCGGUGUAGCGGUGAAAUGCGCAGAUAUCAGGAGGAACACCCGUGGCGAAGGCGGCUCUCUGGGACGGUACUGACGCUGAGACGCGAAAGCGUGGGGAGCGAACAGG